rnacentral:rRNA from 1 species
UACGUAGGGACCAAGCGUUGUCCGGAAUCAUUGGGCGUAAAGAGCGUGUAGGCGGCUUGUUAAGUCUUGCGUGAAAUCUCGGGGCUCAACCCCGAGCGGUCGUGAGAAACUGGCAGGCUAGAGUGCGGGAGAGGAGAGUGGAAUUCCUGGUGUAGCGGUGAAAUGCGCAGAUAUCAGGAAGAACACCCGUGGCGAAGGCGGCUCUCUGGAACGCAGCUGACGCUGAGACGCGAAAGCGUGGGGAGCAAACAGG